UGUAUAUAUGGUCAGUAGUGCGAUGGUGUUUAUUAAUUAGUGUGUGUAAGGUGUAUAUAUGGUCAGUAGUGCGAUGGUGUUUAUUAAUUAGUGUGUGUAAGGUGUAUAUAUGGUCAGUAGUGCGAUGGUGUUUAUUAAUUAGUGUGUGUAAGGUGUAUAUAUGGUCAGUAGUGCGAUGGUGUUUAUUAAUUAGUGUGUGUAAGGUGUAUAUAUGGUCAGUAGUGCGAUGGUGUUUAUUAAUUAGUGUGUGUAAGGUGUAUAUAUGGUCAGUAGUGCGAUGGUGUUUAUUAAUUAGUGUGUGUAAGGUGUAUAUAUGGUCAGUAGUGUGAUGGUGUUUAUUAAUUAGUGUGUGUAAGGUGUAUAUAUGGUCAGUAGUGAGGUGGUGUUUAUUAAUUAGUGUGUGUAAGGUGUAUAUAUGGUCAGUAGUGAGGUGGUGUUUAUUAAUUAGUGUGUGUAAGGUGUAUAUAUGGUCAGUAGUGUGAUGGUGUUUAUUAAUUAGUGUGUGUAAGGUGUAUAUAUGGUCAGUAGUGCGAUGGUGUUUAUUAAUUAGUGUGUGUGAGGUGUAUAUAUGGUCAGUAGUGCGAUGGUGUUUAUUAAUUAGUGUGUGUAAGGUGUAUAUAUGGUCAGUAGUGCGAUGGUGUUUAUUAAUUAGUGUGUGUAAGGUGUAUAUAUGGUCAGUAGUGAGGUGGUGUUUAUUAAUUAGUGUGUGUAAGGUGUAUAUAUGGUCAGUAGUGCGGUGGUGUUUAUUAAUUAGUGUGUGUAAGGUGUAUAUAUGGUCAGUAGUGAGGUGGUGUUUAUUAAUUAGUGUG